rnacentral:rRNA from 1 species
CAAUACGUCAGCGGCAGACGGGUGAGUAACGCGUGGGAACGUACCUUUUGGUUCGGAACAACACAGGGAAACUUGUGCUAAUACCGGAUAAGCCCUUACGGGGAAAGAUUUAUCGCCGAAAGAUCGGCCCGCGUCUGAUUAGCUAGUUGGUGAGGUAAUGGCUCACCAAGGCGACGAUCAGUAGCUGGUCUGAGAGGAUGAUCAGCCACAUUGGGACUGAGACACGGCCCAA